rnacentral:rRNA from 1 species
CGUAGGUGGCGAGCGUUGUCCGGAUUUAUUGGGUUUAAAGGGUGCGUAGGCGGUCCUAUAAGUCAGUGCUGAAAUAUCCCGGCUUAACCGGGAGGGUGGCAUUGAUACUGCAGGACUUGAGUAAAGUUGAGGUUGGCGGAAUUGACGGUGUAGCGGUGAAAUGCUUAGAUAUCGUCAAGAACACCGAUAGUGUAGACAGCUAACUAAGCUUUAACUGACGCUGAGGCACGAAAGUGUGGGGAUCAAACAGGAUUAGAUACCCUGGUAGUCCACACUGUAAACGUUGAUUACUCGAUGUUGGCGAUACACUGUCAGCGUCUUAGCGAAAGCGAUAAGUAAUCCACCUGGGGAGUACGCCGGCAACGGUG